rnacentral:ncRNA from 2 species
UAAACAAACAACACUUCAGGUGCCAGGGAAUGCCGGUGAAAAACCGGAGCGGUCCUGCCACUGUAAUCCCAAUACCUUGAUCGUCAGACACUGAGCGAAGUCGAAGUGUUAGGCGAUUUGGGGGACUGUCAAUCCAGGCCACUGUUCCUUUAAAAAGGGAUGGGAAGGCGACAGUACCGGGAGAGCCAGGAGACCUGCCUGAAAUGCACAUAUUCU